AUGUAUGGGAGUCAGACUGCACGAGAUAAGUUGGGUAGUCAAAAGGGAAAGAGCCCAGACCUACAGCUAAGGUCCCAAAGUGUGUGUUAAGUGGAAAAGGAUGUGGGAUUUCAAAGACAACUAGGAUGUUGGCUCAGAAGCAGCCACACAUUCAAAGAGUGCGUAAUAGCUCACUAGUCGAGAGGUCCUGCGCCGAAAAUGUCCGGGGCUGAAACACAACACCGAAGCUUAGGAAUGUAUGUAAGUACAUUGGUAGAGGAGCAUUCUUAAAGGGGUGAAGCAGUACCGAUAAGGAGCUGUGGACUUUUAAGAAGAGAGAAUGCCGGAAUGAGUAGCGAGAUGGAGGUGGGAAUCCUCCAGGCCGAAUAUCCAAGGUUUCCAGAGUAAAGCUGAUCUGCUCUGGGUAAGUCGGGGCCUAAGGCGAGGCUGAGAGGCGUAGUCGAUGGACAACAGGUUGAAAUUCCUGUACCAUGUAUCAUCAGAACUGUGGGGACACAGAAGGACAACACAUCCCGGGAAUGGGAAUACCGGGGCAAGCGAGGUAGGAGUACGGUUGGCAAAUCCGCCGUGCAAUCCGAAGACGUGACGCGCAGCGAACUAAAGUAGCGAAGUGUGUGAUUCCGGCUGUCAAGAAAAGCCGCUAUUGUGUGAUACAUGCCCGUACCGUAAACCGACACAGGUAGAUGAGGAGAGAAUCCUAAGGCCGGCGGGAGAAGCAUUGUUAAGGAACUCGGCAAAAUGACCCCGUAACUUCGGGAGAAGGGGUGCCACAGAGAUGUGGCCGCAGAGAAUAGGCUCAAGCAACUGUUUAGCAAAAACACAGGUCUAUGCAAAACCGUAAGGUGAGGUAUAUGGGCUGACGCCUGCCCGGUGCUGGAAGGUUAAGAGGAGAGGUUAGAGCAAUCGAAGCUUUGAAUUUAAGCCCCAGUAAACGGCGGCCGUAACUAUAACGGUCCUAAGGUAGCGAAAUUCCUUGUCGGGUAAGUUCCGACCCGCACGAAAGGCGUAAUGAUUUGAGCGCUGUCUCAACAAUGCACCCGGUGAAAUUGAAAUACCAGUGAAGAUGCUGGUUACCUGCGCCAGGACGGAAAGACCCCAUGGAGCUUUACUCCAGUUUGAUACUGGGAUUCGGUAUUGCAUGUACAGGAUAGGUGGGAGGCUAAGAAACAUGGACGCCAGUCUGUGUGGAGCCAAUGUUGGGAUACCACCCUUGCGAUAUUGGGUUUCUAACCUGCGCCCGUGACCCGGGCGGGGGACAAUGUCAGGCGGGGAGUUUGACUGGGGCGGUCGCCUCCGAAAGGGUAUCGGAGGCGCUCAAAGGUUCCCUCAGGAUGGUUGGAAACCAUCCAAAGAGUGCAAAGGCAUAAGGGAGCUUGACUGCGACACCGACGGGUGGAGCAGGUACGAAAGUAGGACUUAGUGAUCCGGUGGUAUGAAAGUGGGAUUGCCAUCGCUCAACGGAUAAAAGCUACCCUGGGGAUAACAGGCUUAUCACUCCCAAGAGUUCACAUCGACGGAGUGGUUUGGCACCUCGAUGUCGGCUCAUCGCAUCCUGGGGCUGUAGCAGGUCCCAAGGGUUGGGCUGUUCGCCCAUUAAAGCGGUACGCGAGCUGGGUUCAGAACGUCGUGAGACAGUUCGGUCCCUAUCCGGCGCGGGCGUAGGAUAUCUGAGAGGAGCUGUCCUUAGUACGAGAGGACCGGGAUGGACAGACCGCUGGUGUACCUGUUGGCUUACCAAGGCCAUGGCAGGGUAGCCAAGUCUGGACGGGAUAAACGCUGAAGGCAUCUAAGCGUGAAGCCCCCCUCAAGAUGAGAUAUCCCAUCGCGAAAGCGAGUAAGACCCCUUGAAGACGACGAGGUAGAUAGGUUAGAGGUGGAAGUGCAGUAAUGUACGGAGCUGACUAAUACUAAUCGGUCGAGGGCUUAUCCAA
rnacentral:rRNA from 1 species